rnacentral:rRNA from 1 species
AACCUACGGGGGGCAGCAGUGGGGGAUAUUGGACAAUGGGGGGAACCCUGAUCCAGCGACGCCGCGUGAGUGAAGAAGUAUUUCGGUAUGUAAAGCUCUGUCAGCAGGGAAGAAAGAAAUGACGGUACCUGACCAAGAAGCCCCGGCUAACUACGUGCCAGCAGCCGCGGUAAUACGUAGGGGGCAAGCGUUAUCCGGAUUUACUGGGUGUAAAGGGAGCGCAGGCGGCGCGGUAAGUCUGAUGUGAAAGCCCGGGGCUCAACCCCGGGACUGCAUUGGAAACUGUCGUGCUGGAGUGUCGGAGG